UGCCCACAGAUAAGAAGUCGUGGCAGAGAGACAUUUCUGACAGGGGCUGAUGGUCUCCACAGGAGCAGUUCAGGAUCUGACCCUGGAAGAUGAACACUCAGAGUCGGCUUCGGCAUUAUCUGAAAAUUCAAUGCCAAAGAGGUGGUUCACAAAGCUGCAAACGAAAUUUCAAGAAGAUUCUCAAAGGCAGAAGCAAGGAUUCCGUGUCCCUUCUCCUCUCCCAACCUCACCUAAAUGCUGGGAAGACUUCCUAGGAAAAGGUAUCCUUUCUGUAUGCGGAGAAAGUUGGUGGCCAGUUGGUGACCCUGAGCAGAGGAGAAGAAAGCAGCUCAGUGUCCCUCAUCACAGCUUGGGCUGCCAGCUGCCUUCCUGGUUUUCCACAGACGGAAGGGCUGGGACUUGAAGACCAUAACAAAAUCACAGCUGUCAGGACGCAUCAGACUUCUGUUGGACAGGCUCCGAGUUUCUCACCGAUCCUCGGGAAAAGGAACAUAUGAAACGGAGAAAAGGGUUCAGUAUGCGAUGUAGCAGGGAGCCAAUGCAAAACCAACCUGUUCUAAAGCUGCUUUUGUCCUGUAAUAUAUUAUCCAAGCUGCUUUUCUUUCAUGAGAAUGCAUGGUGGGGAGAGGGGUAUUGCACAUUGUAUUUUACUGCAUGAUUCACUUUCUUUCCAUUUUAACUUUAAUUCCAUCUAAUUACUGUAUUGUGAUCUCAGUCAGCAAUAGUAAAUGAACGCUCAAGUAACUUUUGAAGAAUCUUGCUACGAAUGUUGGAUAAUGAUGAAAUGCAAAUUGCUACAGGUUAUAUUGUAUAAUGUCUACCGUGUAUUCAAGCAGUUUUCUUGUAAUUUUCAAAUUUCAGGUCACCGUUUUGCUAUUUUCUUGCUUUAUUUUUUCCCCCCACCUACAAUGUAUUAACGCCACCACCCAGCUCCACUGUGACCCAAAACAAAAUAAGCUUGAGCAAGAAUCUGUACCCAGUGAAAAUGCUGCCUAGUUAUCAAGAAUGGAAUUCCUUCUGUUUGAUUUUUAAUCCUAUGAUUGACUCACAGCCUAAAAAAAAAAUCGGUGAAGUUGCAGUUUGGUCAAAGCAUGUAAGAACACUUGGCUGCAUUUUGAACUCGUUUUGAUGAAGUAUUUGAAAGUACCCUAUAGUAACCUUUUGUAUACAAGACUUCGACACCUGCAUUCAUGGAAAUUGUCUUUGGCCUUUUGACAAGGGCGACAGAGAAGAGAUUGCUCUGAAGAGCAGUGUUUUAAUAAAUUCAGUACAAUGGCAACAUACAAAUAUUGCAAGCAUACAUGUUCUAUAUACACACAUUCUAUUUUUUCUAAAUCUACUUUGAGGACUAUAUAAUUAGUUAAGGAACAAUUCAACAAUAAUGUGGGGUAUUAAGAAUGAAAAUUAAGCUCUAUAGUUAAAUUAUCCAUCAAACAUGGAAAUUAUCAAUAUGCAAUUGGAACACUUGGUAGGAUCUCAAAAAGGAUAGGGCACAGAGAGAUGGGUUUGUGGAGUUUUACUUGGCACCUUUGGUGAAAAUGUAUGGGAGUGUUGAAAAUGCCUCACAGGAAAUUUUAAGUAAAAUUAAAAAUUUUUUCUUUUAACAUAAAAGGACCUGUCUUGUUGCACAUUAUUAAUAUGUUGAGGCACUGUACUAGUUUGGAUCCAUUACACUACAGGAAAAAGAAAAUGUUGUAAAAUACCAAGAAUGAUUAACUUUUGGUGGGUAAACUGAUGGAAAUGACCGAUUCUUUGGAUUAUGUCCUUGAAAAGUACUAUUUGAGACUUCUGUUCAAAGAAGAGAAAAUAAUAAAAACAAUAUUUAUUCUUUAA